rnacentral:misc_RNA from 1 species
AAAAAAGUUAAAAGAAAGAUAGUUCAAGACAGCAUUUUUAUGAAAAAGAUUUGAACUUUGAAGAAACAGAGGAAGAUUUGGGGGAAAAACCCAAGAUGGAAAAUGCAGAGAUGUGGGGUUUUUACAAUGGGAAAAAAAAUAAUAUCAGUGUUAAAUCAAGAAGUCAGCAUCUAUAAAAGGAAUCAGAAUACCCUUUUAACCAUAGAGCCACCUCCCCAACCUGAGGAAUCUUGAAAAGACUCUAACUUUUCAAUGUCAAAAGAAAAAUCCUAGAUGUUUUGAUAAUCUUUAAAAUAAAUAAAAGGGGUUAACUAAAACAGACAAAUAUUAUCUCAGACCAAGUUAAAAUCCAAGAAAAUAUUCUCAUUAAGAUCUGAACCCACUGAACUUUACAUAAACAGUAAAAAGCAAGAAAGUUAGAAGGCUAAUUAACCCUGAAAAUGAGUUAACUUUCUAGAAUUAAACCUCACUAGCUUGUGAGAAAAACAAAAAGCUG